UUAAUUACAAGAACAUCGAAC
rnacentral:piRNA from 1 species